UCAUGAGGGGGCGACAGGUUACGGUUCUGAAAGGGAGGCGCCAGUGGCGGGACUUGAUCUGGGAAGAACCUUUUGCUGAUUCUCAACUUUUCCUGGAAAAAUGAACCAUUCCCACCAUAUGGGGAUGAACUCUGUGGACCACACCAGUACCAUGCCACCUUCUCACCAUCACACGGCCACUUCAGCCACCCACCUCCACGGAGGGGGGGAUGGCAACAUGAUGAUGAUGCAUAUGACCUUCUACUUUGGCUUUAAGAGUGUGGAACUAUUGUUUUCUGGUGUGGUGAUCAAUACAGCUGGAGAAAUGGCGGGAGCUUUUGUGGGAGUGUUUUUACUAGCAAUGUUCUAUGAAGGACUCAGGAUAGCCCGAGAGAGCCUGCUACGCAAGUCACAAGUCAGCAUUCGCUACAAUUCCAUGCCUGUUCCAGGACCAAAUGGGACCAUUCUUAUGGAGACACACAGAACUGUUGGGCAGCAGAUGCUGAGCUUCCCUCCCCUCCUGCAAACAGUGCUGCAUCCCACCCAGGUGGUCAUCGGCUUCCUCAUGCUCCUCUUCACGACCUACAGUGGGAACCCCUGCGUUGCUGUAGCAGCAGGGGCCGGCACAGGAGACUUUGUCCUCAGCUGGAAGAAGGCAGGGGUAGUGGACAUCACAGAGCAUUGCCAUUAA